rnacentral:rRNA from 1 species
UACGGAGGGUGCAAGCGUUGCUCGGAAUCACUGGGCGUAAAGGGCGUGUAGGCGGUUUCGUAUGUCUGGCGUGAAAGCCCCGGGCUCAACCCGGGAAGUGCGUUGGAAACUGCGAAACUAGAGUCUCGGAGAGGAAGGUGGAAUUCCAGGUGUAGCGGUGAAAUGCGUAGAUAUCUGGAAGAACACCGGUGGCGAAGGCGGCCUUCUGGACGAUGACUGACGCUGAGACGCGAAAGCGAGGGGAGCAAACAGG